rnacentral:rRNA from 1 species
AUGAUCAUGGCAACUCUGGAUAGAGUUUUUGUAACCACUGACUGGGAAGCUAUGUUCCCUGCAGUACAUCUUAAGGCAUUACCUAGGGUUGCUAGUGAUCAUACACCUUUGUUGCUGGAUUCUGGUGGUAUACCUGUUGCUAAGCAUAGGAUGUUUAGAUUUGAAAAGUGGUGGAUUGGUGUGGAGGGUUUUGAUGAACUUGUCCAUAAAACCUGGAACACCAAGUGUUUGCAUACCAAAGCCAUUGAUAUUUGGCAGUUUAAAACUAGAUUGAUGAGGAAAGUCCUUAAGGGCUGGAGUAUUAAUAUAGAAGUUACCAAGAAUAGGCAGAAGCAAUCCUUGGUUGCUGAAUAUAAUUGUUUGGAUAUUAUGGCUGAAACUCAACCUUUAUUCCCUGCUUCUAAAGAAAAAAUGAAAAAUAUUUCAGGUGAGCUGCAGGACAUAUGGAGGAGGGAAGAAAUUAAGGCCAGACAAAGAUCUAGAGAGAGAGAAGUACUGGAGGGGGAGCUAAAUACAUGA